rfam:Myotis brandtii contig183803, whole genome shotgun sequence.
GGCAGUUCUCAGGCAACGCACCCCAGAAUCGGGCUCCCUCCUCUCUGGUUCCAGGUGCAUCACCUGAGAACUGCA